UAAUUUGAUCAGUCCAAAGUGCUCUUGAAUUCCUUCAAUGAGAUCAGGGGCCUAUUACAGACAUUAUGUUGAAUAAAUUAGAAAUAUUAGAAUGAUUAAUUAAGCAAUUUUUGUUGCAAAAAAAUUGAGAUUUUUGUGGAGCAGUUCUUAACUACAUUUUUUUUUCUGUACUGCUAAUGUCUUCUAACACUACACAGUAGUCAGAGGGGGGCACUACUAGAGGGGGGAGGUAACUGUGACCUUACCACACUCCUGUUACAAUAAAGCUGUAACAAACAUCAUGUCAGAGAAUAUAUCUUUCUCGGUAACAUUUUCUGUUUCAGUAAAUAUAGUCCUACAAGACCUUUAUGUACAUGCUUAAUUGUUUGUACAGGAAUACACUGACUGUAGUCAGUAGGAAUACUCAUAUGCUUAGAGUUAAGAACACGCGUAAAAAUUUCCAGGACUGGGGCCUGUCUUUUCCCAGUGGAGAAUUAUGCUCUUACACAGGCAUCUCCCCUGGUGUGGUUAUAUAAAUCUGGCCCUUUAAGUUGUACAGAGCCAAACUGCUCCAGUCUUAUUGUAGCCAUUUUGCAACUCCUGACUGCUUGGUGCCUGUUCUGUCUCAUAACUGGUUAGUAUGUGUUAUGCUUUCCCACAGCUCUCUCUUCUUCCUGCAUCUCACGCAUGUGAUUGAAAAAGGUUCAUCCAGUGUGCCUUCAUAUCCCCGUGAGAAAACUGCAUGUAGCAAGCCAGAAAACAUGGGAGUUUAAGACAAGGCUGUUCCCAUAAGAACUCUCUUUUGCAUAUUUGCUGUUAUCUAGUUAUGGCAGAAGAAGACAUUUCUUCACCCUUACCCUCUCCUAGGACAACUGCUAAAUCUUGAUGCCAAGUCUCAAGAAGCCAAGACUACUAAGAUUAUUGAUCUGUGCCUCUGAGUCAGAUUCGGAUACCAGGAGUAUCAUGAGGGCUAAUGUUUGAGGGGUCUAAUUUUUAAGGAAACAAUGUAGUGAUUAUUAUGCCACCCAUUCCACCUCUUCUAGUUUUAGCUCUUCAGUCUGAGGAGUUCUGCCUUCUCAAGACUUCAAACACAAGCUUUUGUAGUAUCUCAGCACAGACAUUGCAACAGUGGUAGCUGAGCACUUUUUGCAGAACUGAAAAAUUUCCUUCCUGGAAGUUUUUCCUUGGAACAUAAAUGCAGGAAUCAUGUUCUGACCUGUAAUUUGUCUCAUACAUUGGGAAUAUAAUGUACACUCUAUCAGCAAUGUAGAAAUGGGCAAAUUUCUGUCUUCCAAACUUAAUGGGAAUCACAUUUAGUCAGUGUGCAAAAACAAAGAUAAACAAGCAUGUUCCAUAUGAGCAGUGGGCUGUGCUACAUGUAAAUCUGACUGAAGGUAUUUGUAAUAACUUGACAAAACUGCCAUUCAAUAUUUUAAAACGUAUUUUAUCUCUGAAGCUGAGAAGCAGGAUAUGUCAAUCUCACAUUUAAUUUAUCUACUACACAAAUGUGAGAUUUCUCAACUUUUACUUUGCCCAGCAAGAUUAGAGGCAUAUUUCUGCUCCAUUAUCCACAGAUUACACACUGUGAAUGUCUACAAGCAGUAAGUGAGGUGCUUAUUACACAAAAUAAUAUGUAUAAAGCAAAAUUAAUAUUUGUAUUAGAAUUCCUUUCUCAGAUACAGAGAACAUAAUUCCUGUUGAUUCCUUUUUAGAGUGCUAGACGUGGUAUUUUACUACAUGCUUCUAUUUAGUUUCUUUUUCAUUUGCUGCUAAAUAUAUGUGCUCUGGUCAUAUUAAGUAGUUAAAAUAUCAUUUAAAAUUUAGAUACGGGGAACUAAAUGGAGUACUCAACAAUUUUUAUGGCACCAAUGUUAAAACCUCAGCUUUUUUUACAUGGUGGAUAAUGCUUUCAACUUAGGCUAACUCUUACACAUUCAAAUUGGAUUUAGCCAAAUUCUGCCCUCACUCAACAGCUUUGUCGUCAAAAAUACUGACAACAGGGGCAGCACAAGGAUAACCAAGAGCAAGACUUAUCUUCUAUAUUCAUUGAGCAUAGUUAAUUCCUAGUUAAAGCAUGGGGAUUGACCUCAAUUAACACAGAUUCAUUUUUCUUUUGAAUCUGCAUUUCAAAGGAUCUGGUGGCAUUUAUUUAACCCUUGUAAUAUCAGGAAUGAGUCUUUCACCUGAGAUUAUAGCUUAAUAGUCCCUCAGCCCCACCUUCCUAAAACUCUGUGAGAUUUUUGCCACCCCAGAGUUCUGACUCCCCGUCUUUUCAGUGGCUUUUUUCUCACCUGCCAUAGAAAUAUAUUUACUUAGAAAAAAGCAGAAUCUCAUCUUCCUUAGAAGCCUCCCUGAGCAUAUUAGCAUUUUCUGUCAAAUGAUCUGAAUGUGAUUUACAAAUAAUCCAAGUAUCCAACUGUUCUCUUGUUUCUCUGUGGCACAAGUAAAUAGUAGCAACAUCCUCGGAAGGUGCAUCCUCUGCCCCUCUGUUUUAGAGAGGGGCAGACAACAUUCUGCAGUCACAGCACUGCUUUACAGGACAAUUCAAGUUCAUGAAAGGCCCACUUCUGGGCAGACAAAAAACAUUAUCUGAGGAGCACCCAUUGUACUUAAGUCAAAGUUUUAUCUUCUGUCUCAACGCCUGGAUAAACAAGAAGCCACUCUUGAUUACCCACUCCUUGGUUAAGCAGCUUGCAAUUCAAGGGAGAUACUGAGAGAUUUGGGAAGGUGAGUGAAAAGACAGUAUAAAGUUCUGUCACUUUCUCUUUUUGCUCCGUAUGGAACCACCAUGCACACAGCUGCUUCUCAAGCAUGAUUUAGAGCAGGCUGUUCAUGUUCUCACCUAAUUGUAUGGUAAACGUCUGCAAAAUGGGACCAUGUGAUCAAACUGGCUAGAAAUAUGAGGUCAUGACAUCAAAAGUUCAGUUCUAUAGUGAAAAUAUGGCUUUCAGGUGCUGCUAGCUUCAAAGCUCACCAACAAAAUGAAGAAGAAAUCUAUAUUUGGAGAUCUUCAUGUAAAGUAUUAACAUUUACUGUUCAUGUUUUGGUUACAUAUAUGUAUGUUUAAUAAAAUUAUCCAGCUUGUGAAUUUAAGACAUUCCAGAAAAAAGUAAUAGAUACAUUUUUUUUCUGCCA